UACGGGGGGGGCAAGCGUUGUUCGGAAUUACUGGGCGUAAAGGGCUCGUAGGCGGCCAACUAAGUCAAACGUGAAAUCCCUCGGCUUAACCGGGGAACUGCGCUUGAUACUGGAUGGCUUGAGAUUGGGAGAGGGAUGCGGAAUUCCAGGUGUAGCGGUGAAAUGCGUAGAUAUCUGGAGGAACACCGGUGGCGAAGGCGACAUCCUGGACCAAUACUGACGCUGAGGAGCGAAAGCCAGGGGAGCAAACGGG
rnacentral:rRNA from 1 species